UACUUUUAAGUAAAGCUCUAUAUACUGAUUUACAGUAAAUAAAAUUUUAAUUUUAUUGUUAUAAAAUAUUUUUAUAAAUUUUAUUGUUACAGAAUCUAAAAGAUACAGAUCAAAACCGGAAUAGAACCCAGCUAUGAGUUUUAUUUUAGGUAUUAAAAUAAACCUAAAUUGUGUGGCAGUUAUUUAUUCUUUUUAGAGAAUUUUGAUUAGUAAGUUGAUAUCCCACAAUUUUAUUCACUAAAUCUUUUGUUUGUGUGUGGUUGUUUAAAAAUAAAUAUCUAUUUAAAUUUUUGUCCAAAUAACAUGUAGUUUGAUUUAGGUAUAAUUGAAAUGCCGUAAAAUAAUUUAAUAAUGAAAGGAUUUAAUAGUAGGUUAAAGUUAAUCGAAC
rnacentral:rRNA from 1 species